GAGAGUAUAAGCAAAAAUGGCAGAAUACAAGAGUGAUUUUUCUACAAAACGUGGAGAAUAUAAUACGGUGUAUUACACGUUAUAUAUAUCCUAUGCCAAAGGCAGAAGGUCACGGCCAUAAGUUUAAUCGUGCAUAAGGCAUAUAGAAACACUACUAGUUAUGACAGUUGUGUGUAAGUUGAUCAGCAUAGUAUACAUGGUAAAAUCACGAUGUAGAGAAAAUUAAUUUUAAAUCAUGAGUAAAGUGUAAGGGAUAAAAUUGCACUUUGGGGGUACGCCAUUUAGAACAUAAAAGGCAAGGAUGCCAAACUUCACCCAAGACCUGGGAAACGUCAAAAAGUGCUGCCCAUGUAUAUUCUUGUUUUUUUUUUAAGCAACAAAUAGUGCUAGCCAAGACCAUGUAGGUAUUUGAUAAAUUGUUGAAUGUUCUCCCGAAAGCCAAAUUAAGAAUAAGGUACUUUGCUGUCGAUAAUAAUAGAAUAUAGUUGUGUUAUACCU